rnacentral:rRNA from 1 species
GACGAACGCUGGCGGCGUGCCUAACACAUGCAAGUCGAGCGAGUGAAUCUCCUUCGGGAGUGAAGCUAGCGGCGGACGGGUGAGUAACACGUGGGCAACCUGCCUCAUAGAGGGGAAUAGCCUUCCGAAAGGAAGAUUAAUACCGCAUAAGAUUGUAGCUUCGCAUGAAGUAGCAAUUAAAGGAGCAAUCCGCUAUGAGAUGGGCCCGCGGCGCAUUAGCUAGUUGGUGAGGUAACGGCUCACCAAGGCGACGAUGCGUAGCCGACCUGAGAGGGUGAUCGGCCACAUUGGGACUGAGACACGGCCCAGACUCCUACGGGAGGCAGCAGUGGGGAAUAUUGCACAAUGGGGGAAACCCUGAUGCAGCAACGCCGCGUGAGUGAUGACGGCCUUCGGGUUGUAAAGCUCUGUCUUCAGGGACGAUAAUGACGGUACCUGAGGAGGAAGCCACGGCUAACUACGUGCCAGCAGCCGCGGU